rnacentral:rRNA from 1 species
AUGGAACCAAGGCAAACCGAGUGGCUUCCAGAUACUGCUCGGCAUUUGUUCUUGUCAUGUGAAGAAACAGAAGGUAUUUUGAAUGAUGCUCUGGAGAAAAAAUCCCCUGCCAUUCAAACACUGAUAUGUGAUAGCCAUGUGCGAAGCUCAUUGAAGCAUCUAUCAAAAUAUAGCUCUUUGCAUGCCUUAAAGCUCUGUAUUAGAGGCACAGAAUCAUUUCUUCUGAAAUCAAUGUAUCUGUAUCACCUGAGGUACCUUGAUCUCUCAGACAGUGAUAUCAAAGCACUUCCUGAAGAUAUAAGUAUUCUAUAUAACCUGCAAACGUUAGACCUUUCCAACUGCUAUCAUCUUGAUCGACUUCCGAGGCAAAUGAAGUAUAUGACUUCCCUCCGUCACCUCUACACUCUUGGAUGUCGCAACUUGAAGAGCAUGCCACCAGAACUAGGAAAACUCACUAAGCUGCAGACGCUUACAUUUUUUGCAGCAGCAGUUACUGGCACUGAUUGCAGUGAUGUUGCAGAGCUGCAGCAUUUAAACCUUGGUGGUCAGUUAGAGCUAUGUCAGAUAGAGAAUGUUAUAGAGGCAGAGGCAAAAGUGGCAAACCUUGGAAACAAGAAGGAUCUCAGAGAACUGACAUUAAGAUGGAAUUCUGUUUGUGACAGCAUGGUGCUCGACAAUUUCGAACCACAUGGUGGGUUGCAGGUUCUGAAGAUAUAUUCCUAUGGAGGAGAGUGCAUGGGUAUGCUGCAAAACAUGGUUGAGAUCCAUCUUUUCCAUUGUGAAAGAUUGCAAGUUUUGUUCAGAUGCAGUGCAAGCUUCACUUUUCCAAAACUGAAGGUACUAAUGCUAGAACGUUUGUUGGGUUUUGUAAGAUGGUGGGAAAUAGAUGAGAGGCAAGAAGAACAAACAAUAUUUCCUGUGCUUGAGAAGUUGUUUAUUAGUAAUUGUGGAAAGUUGGUAGCAUUACCUGAAGCACCAUUGCUGCAAGGACCUUGUGGUGAAGGUGGUUAUACAUUGGUACGCUCAGCGUUUCCUGCCCUAAAGGUACUCAAAAUGAAAGAGUUGGAGAGCUUUCGGAGAUGGGAUGCAGUCGAAGAGACUCAAGGAGAACAGAUAGUGUUUCCUUGUCUGGAGGAACUAUCAAUUGAGAAAUGUCCAAAGCUGACAGCGUUACCUGAAGCACCAUUGCUUCAAGAACCAUGUAGUGAAGGUGGUUAUAGAUUGGUACGUUCAGCCUUUCCUGCCUUAAAGGUGCUCAAAAUGAAAUGGUUGGGGAGCUUUCAGAGAUGGGAUGCAGUCGAAGGUACAUUGUUUCCCCACCUUGAGAAAUUGUCAGUCCAGAAAUGCCCAAAACUGGUAGCAUUGCCUGAAGCACCAAAACUCAGUGUAUUAGAAAUUGAAGAUGGCAAGCAAGAGAUCUCCGAUUCUGUAGAUAGAUAUUUGCCCUCAUUGACCAAUCUGAUACUGAAGCUAGAAAACACAGAAACAACAUCAGAGGUUGAGUGCACUUCAAUUGUAUUGGUGGACAGCAAGGAGAAAUGGAACCAGAAAUCCCCUCUUACAGUUAUGGAGCUAAGAUGCUGCAACUUGUUCUUUGGAUCGGGUGCAUUAGAGCCGUGUGAGUAUUUUGUAGAUCUUGAAAAGUUGGAAAUUGAUAGAUGCGAUGUGCUCGUCCACUGGCCAGAGAAAGUGUUCCAAAGCUUGGUGUCCUUGAGGAGCUUGGCGAUUACAAACUGUGAAAAUCUGAUUGGAUAUGCACAAGCUCCUCUUGAGCCAUUGGCGUCCGAAAGGAGUCAGCACCUGAGAGGUCUAGAGUCUCUUUGCUUAGAAAACUGCCCAAGUUUAGUAGAGAUGUUCAACGUCCCGGCAUCUCUCAAGAAAAUGAAUUUUGAUAGGUGCAUUAAGCUUGACUCCAUAUUCAGCAAGCAGCAGGGCAUGGCAGAGUUAGUCCAAGUAUCUUCUAGCAGUGAGGCAAUCAGGGCUGCAGCUGUAUCAGAGUUGCCAUCCUCACCCAUGAAUCACUUUUGUCCAUGCCUAGAAGAUCUACUUUUAUCUGGAUGUGGAAGCUUACCAGCGGUUCUGAACCUUCCUCCGUCUUUAAAGUACAUUCGUAUUGCUAGCUGUAGUAGUAUUCAAGUCCUAUCAUGCCAGCUGGGUGGGCUCCAGAAACCAGAAGUCACUACCUCCAUAAGCAGAAGUCCUAUCAUGCCACAGCCACCAGCAGCAGCAACACCAACUGCAAGAGAGCAUUUACUUCCUCCCCAUCUCGAAUCUCUAGUAAUAGUGGACUGUGCUGGCAUGUUGGGUGGGACUCUCCGUCUACCUGCACCCCUCAAGGGACCGCAGAUUAUGGGAAACAGUGGGCUGACAUCGCUGGAGUGUCUGUCGGGAGAGCACCCCCCAUCGCUGGAUGUCCUUUAUCUUGACAGAUGCAGUACCCUGGCAUCCCUGCCGAAUGAGCUGCAAGUAUACAGGUCUCUCGUGUAUCUUCAAAUUAGAGGCUGCCCUGCUAUAAAGAAGCUCCCUAGAUGCCUGCAGCAGCAACUGGGCAGCAUCAGCCGCAAACGACUAGAUGCCUGCUAUGAAGUAACGGAAUUCAAACCAUUGAAACCGAAGACAUGGAAGGAAAUACCGAGGCUAGUCCGUGAGCGGAGGCAGGCCUGCCGGAGCUGA